CCUACGGGAGACUGCAGUGAGGAAUAUUGGUCAAUGGACGAGAGUCUGAACCAGCCAAGUAGCGUGAAGGAUGACUGCCCUAUGGGUUGUAAACUUCUUUUAUAUGGGAAUAAAACAGGGUAUGCAUACCCUCUUGUAUGUACCAUAUGAAUAAGGAUCGGCUAACUCCGUGCCAGCAGCCGCGGUAAUGCGGAGGAUCCGAGCGUUAUCCGGAUUUAUUGGGUUUAAAGGGAGCGUCGGUGGAUUGUUAAGUCAGUUGUGAAAGUUUGCGGCUCAACCGUAAAAUUGCAGUUGAAACUGGCAGGCUUGAGGACAGUAGCGGUGGGCGGAAUUCGUGGUGUAGCGGUGAAAUGCUUAGAUAUCACGAAGAACUCCGAUUGCGAAGGCAGCUCACUGGACUGCAACUGACACUGAUGCUCGAAAGUGUGGGUAUCAAACAGGAUUAGAUACCCCAGUAGUC
rnacentral:rRNA from 1 species